rnacentral:lncRNA from 1 species
UUGAGGUUAAACAGACAGGAAAAUACAUUAUUAAAUAAGGUAUUACCUGAUCCCUUUAUCCAGUGUGGGCAUUUCCUCCAUCCCAACACCAUCCCUAAUGCAUUCACAUACCUCUACAAGAACACCCUUUUACAAAUGAGGAAACCAGAGGAAUACGUUUUUUUGAAGAACAGACUCAGGAAAGCAGUCUUUGUGAAGACAGUAAGUGGGACAUGUGGAAGUGCACCCUCUUUUCUAUUUCAGGCACGCUUGCUGCCCUUCCUUGGCCCUGGCCACAGAUCUGGUUUCCUUCUGUCAUUUAGAAGCCAGGGCUUUUACUUUUCUUCCUAGUAGAACAUCAACCCCUGCAGCUCUUCAUCUCCCCCUGGUGUUUGUCUCCUGCCAUUUCCGAUUGUUGGUAUUGACAGUAGGGGGAGUUGGAAGGGGAAGCAAUGGGGGAGCACAGAGAAGAAAUUAUGGGGGCUUCUAAUCAGUGAUAUUGGGGGAAAAUGGGAUAGGUGCCUGACAGGGCUCUAUGUUUUUUUUUCUUCUAAAUCUCCCUUUCCUUGCCAAUCCCUCAC